CACCGCGCCCCGCCUCCCUCCCUCGAGCCUCACUCGCGCCCAGCGCCCUCACUCCAAGCGGCCGCCGGGCCGAGCGCCCGAGCCGCCCGAGCCGCUGCCAGCCGCGCCGGGACCGAUAGAUAAGGAGCUGAGUCAGGCAAGGGCGGAAUGACGCUCAUUGAUUCCAAAGCAUCUUUAAUCUGCCAGGCAGACAGGCCUUUGCUGCUGGUCUUUCUUGGACCAUUCCAGAGAGGACAACUGGUGUCUGAGAAGUGAAAAAGCAGGAUGCCCCCUGGGGUUGACUGCCCCAUGGAAUUCUGGACCAAGGAGGAGAAUCAGAGCGUGGCUGUUGACUUCCUGCUGCCCACGGGGGUCUAUCUGAACUUCCCUGUGUCCCGAAAUGCCAACCUCAGCACCAUCAAGAAGGUGUUGUGGCACCGAGCCCAGUAUGAGCCACUCUUCCACAUGCUCAGUGACCCCGAGGCCUAUGUGUUCACCUGCGUCAACCAGACUGCGGAGCAGCAGGAGCUGGAGGACGAGCAGCGGCGGCUGUGUGACAUCCAGCCCUUCCUGCCGGUUCUGCGCCUGGUGGCCCGCGAGGGCGACAGGGUGAAGAAGCUCAUCAACUCGCAGAUCAGCCUUGUCAUCGGCAAAGGCCUCCAUGAGUUUGACUCCUUGCGUGACCCAGAAGUGAAUGACUUUCGCACCAAGAUGCGCCAGUUCUGUGAGGAGGCCGCUGCCCGCCGGCAACAGCUGGGCUGGGAGGCCUGGCUACAGUACAGCUUUCCCCUGCAGCUGGAGCCCUUGGCGGGAAACUGGGGAGCCAGCACCCUACGGUUCCCCAGCCGGGCCCUUCUGGUCAACGUCAAGUUCGAGGGCAGUGAGGAGAGCUUCACCUUCCAGGUGUCCACCAAGGACGUGCCCCUGGCACUGAUGGCCUGUGCCCUCCGGAAGAAGGCCACGGUGUUCCGGCAGCCCCUGGUGGAGCAGCCCGAGGACUACACGCUGCAGGUGAACGGGAGACUCGAGUACCUGUACGGCAGCUACCCCCUCUGCCGCUUCCAGUACAUCUGCAGCUGCCUGCACAGCGGGCUGACCCCUCAUCUGACCAUGGUGCACUCCUCCUCCAUCCUCGCCAUGCGGGACGAACAGAGCAACCCCACCCCCCAAGUCCAAAAACCGCGCACCAAACCGCCCCCCAUUCCCGUGAAGAAGCCCUCCUCUGUGUCCCUGUGGUCCCUGGAGCAGCCGUUCUGCGUCGAGCUCAUCCAGGGCAGCAAAGUGAACGCAGAUGAGCGGAUGAAGCUGGUGGUGCAGGCUGGGCUUUUCCAUGGUAAUGAGACGCUCUGCAAGACGGUGUCCAGCUCGGAGGUGAGCGUGUGCUCAGAGCCUGUGUGGAAACAGCGGCUGGAGUUUGACAUCAACGUCUGCGAUCUGCCGCGCAUGGCCCGUCUCUGCUUUGCACUUUACGCCGUGAUUGAGAAGGCCAAGAAGGCUCGCUCCACCAAGAAGAAGUCCAAGAAGGCGGACUGCCCCAUUGCCUGGGCCAACCUCAUGCUGUUUGACUACAAGGACCAGCUCAAGACUGGGGAAUGCUGCCUCUACAUGUGGCCCUCCGUCCCAGAUGAGAAAGGGGAGCUGCUGAACCCCACGGGAACCGUGCGCAAUAACCCCAACACUGAGAGCGCUGCCGCCCUGGUCAUCUCCCUCCCCGAGGUGGCCCCCCACCCCGUGUACUACCCUGCCCUUGACAAGAUCUUGGAGCUGGGGCGGCCCGGGGAGCAUGGGCGCUUCACCGAGGAGGAGCAGCUGCAGCUGCGGGAGAUCCUGGAGCGGCGGGGGUCCGGGGAGCUGUAUGAGCAUGAGAAGGACCUGGUGUGGAAGAUGCGACACGAGGUCCAGGAGCACUUCCCCGAGGCACUGGCCCGGCUGCUGCUGGUCACCAAGUGGAACAAGCAUGAGGACGUGGCCCAGAUGCUCUACCUGCUGUGCUCCUGGCCUGAGCUGCCUGUGCUGAGCGCCCUGGAGCUGCUGGACUUCAGCUUCCCCGACCGCCACGUGGGCUCCUUCGCCAUCAAGUCCCUGCGGAAACUGACGGACGACGAGCUUUUCCAGUACCUGCUGCAGCUGGUGCAGGUGCUUAAGUACGAGUCCUACCUCGACUGUGAGCUGACCAAAUUCCUGCUGGACCGGGCCCUGGCCAACCGCAAGAUCGGCCACUUCCUCUUCUGGCACCUCCGGUCCGAGAUGCACGUGCCGUCGGUGGCCCUGCGCUUCGGCCUCAUCAUGGAGGCGUACUGCAGGGGCAGCACCCACCACAUGAAGGUGCUGAUGAAGCAGGGGGAAGCACUGAGCAAACUGAAGGCCCUGAACGACUUUGUCAAAGUGAGCUCCCAGAAGGCCACCAAGCCCCACACCAAGGAGCUGAUGCACCUGUGCAUGCGCCAGGAGACCUACCUGGAGGCCCUCUCCCACCUGCAGUCGCCGCUCGACCCCAGCAUCCUGCUGGCUGAAGUCUGUGUGGAGCAGUGCACCUUCAUGGACUCCAAGAUGAAGCCCCUGUGGGUCAUGUACAGCAACGAGGAGGCGGGCAGCGAUGGCAGCGUGGGCAUCAUAUUUAAGAACGGGGAUGACCUCCGCCAGGACAUGCUGACUCUGCAGAUGAUCCAGCUCAUGGACGUUCUGUGGAAGCAGGAGGGGUUGGACCUGAGGAUGACCCCCUAUGGCUGCCUCUCCACCGGGGACCGCACGGGCCUCAUCGAGGUGGUGCUUCACUCAGACACCAUUGCCAACAUCCAGCUGAACAAGAGCAACAUGGCAGCCACGGCCGCCUUCAACAAGGAUGCCCUGCUCAACUGGCUCAAGUCUAAGAACCCUGGGGAGGCCCUGGAACGAGCUAUUGAGGAGUUCACCCUCUCCUGCGCUGGCUACUGUGUGGCCACAUACGUGCUGGGCAUCGGUGAUCGGCACAGCGACAACAUCAUGAUCCGCGAGAAUGGGCAGUCUCUGCCCUUCCCUCCCCUUAGCUGUUCCACAUUGAUUUUGGCCACUUUCUGGGGAAUUUCAAGACCAAGUUUGGAAUCAACCGUGAGCGAGUCCCAUUCAUCCUCACCUAUGACUUUGUCCAUGUGAUCCAGCAGGGGAAGACUAAUAAUAGUGAGAAAUUCGAAAGGUUCCGGGGCUACUGUGAGAGGGCCUACACCAUCCUGCGGCGCCACGGGCUGCUCUUCCUGCACCUCUUCGCCCUGAUGCGGGCGGCCGGCCUGCCUGAGCUCAGCUGCUCUAAAGACAUCCAAUAUCUCAAGGACUCUCUGGCCUUGGGAAAAACGGAGGAGGAGGCUCUGAAGCACUUCCGAGUGAAGUUUAACGAAGCGCUCCGGGAGAGCUGGAAGACCAAAGUGAAUUGGCUGGCCCACAACGUGUCCAAAGACAACAGGCAAUAGCAGCCCUGCCUCCCGGCGGCACACCGGCCCCGCCGAGCCAACCGUGCAUCCUGGGAACCAGGCACCCUCCGCUGCCCUUCGGGGCCUGGAAGCCUGAACUGCACCCCAUGGGAAAGAACCUACACAACUGCCUUUUGUUUACACUGGUUAUUUAUUUAUGACUUGAAAUGUUUCAGGAACUAAACAGCCAUAAACGGUAAUGCAUCCUUUGUGCAGGGGAGGGGUGCUGUGCUCCAGGGGCCCCGGUCAGAGCCCUGGCCUUGGAGGAGAAGACACUGUGAACUGGGCACCUCAAGGCUGCAUCUGCUGAGGAUUGUAAUCCCAAGUCUUCCAGCUGGCAGAUCUGGACCCAGCAAGGAAUAUUUUCCCCACCGGGGAGCCUGCCUUCUUCCCAGGCUCCAGCCGGGCUGUACAGUCUCGGCGCCGACAGCUACCUGGUGCCCGCUGUGCGGACAGGGCGCCGGCGCCUCCUCUGCUCACCCCUCCCUCACGCUCUCCGCUGAGCUCUGGGCAGCUCCCAGAGCAAACCUGGGUACUCUCUAGAUUCAGGGAUGCUUGCUCCCCACUUUCAGAGUGACUCUUGGGUACAGGAAUUCUUUCAUCUCUGCUAUAAAGUGAUUUUGUUUGCGGGUAAGAAAAAAAAUAGCCAGACUACUUACUGAACCUCUGUGGCUCGGGAGAACAGCCCUGGGCCCCUGAAGUAGAAUAGAUGCUGGUCCUCAAGACACAUUACAGAGAUGGGAGCUUGAUGCAGCUCAUCCUGGUCAUGGGUCAAGGUGAAAGCAGGUCAGAGUACUUUGUGCAAUAUCUGUAACCUGCCUCUUAAGGCAGGUUUUAAGUGAGGAGGAACCUGAUCUCCUCAUCCAGAACGCUCUCCUUUGAGAACCUGCCGUGAAUAAUCAGGUACCAGAAGUGUGAGUUAGGUGUGCGGUGGAAUCUUUUUCUCUGACGGGUCUUAUCUUGAAACGGUUCAGGCUUCAGUUUAGGUGGAUCUGAGGAGCUCCAGAAAUGCAGGUUCCUGGGCCCCUCCCAGCCUUCUGAAGCCACUCUGGAGACGGGCUAGGAGUCUGGGCUUUGAGAAGCCCACUGGAGAGCCUGACGUAUUAGCAGCCAAGCCGGACCUGCCGGGCUACACUGCUUAUCCCUCAAAGGUCCUGCAGGGCCCGGAAGAGCCAGCAGCCACUCCCCACUCAACAGCCCGGGUGCCAGUUCUUUUUCGGUCAGAGGCAGCCAAGCAGACACAGUCUGUCAGCAGUGAGUGCCACCCACAGAGCACCACUGACCGCACUCCUGUUCCCAACCAGCGCUGAAUUCAUGAGCCCCACCUGGCCUGUUUGGAAACAGGGAAAGCCAAGUGUAUGUCUAUACUGUAUGUUAUUUAUUUAAGUGAGUCUGUGUGCUUCCUGGCGUGGGCAGCACACUUGGCACAUACACAACAAUUUCAGGUCUGGGUGCACGGCCUGUGUGCCUGACCAGAAGCAUAUUUUCUAUGUUCUAACGUCAUUUACUGUUUCUGUAUGGGGAAGGCGAGUUCAACAUACCUGAUGAUGGCUGAGACCAGCACUCUGUGAAACCUUGAGAGCUAAAAGUAGAUUAAAAGAAAUAAAAGCCUUUUUAUGUUA